rnacentral:piRNA from 1 species
UGCUCAGUCCACAAAGUUCCUCCAUCGCAA